GGUCCGUCAGCUUCAGAGUCCCGCAUUGCCCCAGCCCAAGAUGCCGUUUGUGGACAGCCCAGUUUUGGAGGGGUAGGGCUGGGGCCGGUGCUGGUGCCCCCGGAACACUGCCGCUGCUCUCUGGGCAUGGUGGGGGCCAGCGAGGAGCCCAGGGCUCCAGGGAGCCGUCUUGGUCGGCUAUGGCCACGUCUCCUGCUCCAGCAAGUGGGCCGGUUUCUUGGUGCGCUCCCGCUCGAGCCGCUGUUGGGCUGUGAUGGGCACCCCAUCAGGGCACAGUCCUCCUGCUGCCCGCCCACCGUGCUGACACAGCCAGCUUGGCCUAGCGCCGGUGUUUGUGGCCUGGGCCAUCGUGGCAGCGCGGCAGCUUCCUCUUUGUGGCUGGGCCGCUGCCAGUGUGCUGCUCGUGCCCGGUGCUCUUGCUGUUAGUGGUGGUGCAGGCGGGCGCUGGGCACUUGGCUGGCUCGGUGCUGUCCUCGUGGUGCACGUCUGCCAGCCGGCAGGAGAUGCAUCCGGGUGGCAGUGCCAGGCGGGUGAGAACCACCCGGGGCUGCCUCCGCUGCACCUCUUGGAUCAGACGUGCAGCGCGGGGCAACAGAGGUGCGGGGGCAGCCAGGGGGGUCGGCAGUGCCAGGCGGGUGAGAACCACCCGGGGCUGCCUCCGCCGCGCCUCUUCCAUCAGAUGUGCAGUGCGGGGCGACGGAGGCGCAGGGGCAGCCAGGGGCGUCGGCACGGGCAGCUCAGGGGAUGCUGGCUGCCAGCAGAGCGAGUUGCUGAGGAGCCCUGAUUCAGGAUGUGUCUCUUUGCUCAGCUCCCUGCUGGCCCCGGAGGAGUCCGAGUGCUCUGUGCUGGAAGAAGAGGAGUCGAGGCUGCUGGAGACAUCAGGGCUCAGUGGCUCUGUGGCAGUGAUGCGCUGCAUCAGCUCUUGCGUUUGGCAGCUGUUUGCAGUGGCUUUGGUCCCCUCUCUUGUGACACCGGGCAGGUCCUGCUUGUGCUGGGGGACCUCCAGAGCACUCUCCAGAGCCGCUUCUGAAAAAGCAAGAACAUCCCCCCGAACGAUGAUGGCAGCCUUCCCACAGCCACUCGGUGCAGGCAGCCACCUCUGGGGGUCACCUCUGCGGAGCACAGUCUCACCGUCAAUCCAGUUCCAAGCAGGUGGGCUCUCAGUGUCUUGCAAGUGCCACUUAGCAGCAGCAAGUCCAGCCAGGAGGCACAGCACCCUGCAACCUCCAGGGGCCUUUGUGCAGCAGCAGAUGUUGAUGCCCUAGAAGCACGGUGCGGAGCACAUCCUGGGAUCAAGGUGCCACGGACUGGAAAAUGCUGCUGUGGCGGAGUUCCUGUGUGAAGACAAAACUCCCAGUCCCCCAGAAAUGUGGAGGCAGAAGAGCAGUGACAAGGUAUCUACAUGUCUAUCUGUGUAUGUGCACAGCAGGCCCAGCUGCCCCUGCUUCCUCCCUCCCCAGGAUCUGCUCCUGCUGCUGCUGCUGCUGGAGUGUCCUCUGGCCACGGUGGCAUGGGGCGAGUUCUUUUGUCAAACAGGAUCUACCGUUUGUCAACCCACUGUGACUGGGCCUGAUCCCCUGGUUGACCUUUAAUUAAUCCCAACAUUAUCCAUCCCAUAACCUACCCUGGCACCGAGGUAAGGUGCAGUCCAUCUGGCCCCGUGGACUCGGGCAUCCAGCUUUCGGAGCAGGUCCAAAACCAUCUCAUUGUGGAUUAUGCAUGGCCUAUUCGGGUCCCCAUUCCUAUCUACCAGCACAGGGGACUGUGUUCCCAGGAAGUAAUGAGUCUUGCUAUGAAAGACUGAGGCAACGAAGGCAUUAAGUACCUCAGCCUUGUCCUGAUCCUUGGUCACCAAGUUGCCCUCGGCAUCCAAGAAGGGAUGGAGAUUCUCCCUAGCCCUCCUCUUGCUGUAGAUGUAUUUACAGAAAUAUUUAUUGUUGUCCUUUACCUUGGUGGCCAAGCUCAGUUCUAGCUGGGCUUUGGCUUUUCUAAUUUUCUCCCUGCACAUAUUUGCUACGUACCUGUAAUCAUCAUAAGUAGCUUGCCCACUCUUCCACAGACCAUAAUCUUUCAUUUUGCUCUUGAGUUCCAGUGGAAGGUCUCUGUUCAGCCAGUCCAGCCUCCUUGCCCAUCAGCUCAUCUUCCAUGACCUGGGGAUGGUCAGCUCCUGCACCUUUAGAAUUACUUCUGGAAAGUACUGCCAGCCUUCCUGGGCUCCCACGCCCUCCAAAAGUACUUCCCAAGGGACCCUCUCAACCAUGGUCCUAAAGAGGUUCGAGUUUGCUCCCCGGCAGUCCAAGGUGGCAGUUCUGCUGACUCCCCUCCGUGGUUCAACAAGGAUUGAGAAAUCUAGCAUCUCACGAUCCCUUUGCCCCAGGCGGCCUCCAGCCUUGACAUCCCCCACAAGACCUUCUCUGUGAACAAACAGCAGGAUUUUGCUUGCCCUUGCUGGCUGCCUCACCAGCUGUGUCAGGAAGUGAUCUCCCACACACUCGAGGAACCUCUGGGACUGUUCCCUAUCUGCUGUAUUAUAAAUCCAGCAGAUGUCUGGGACUUUGCAAUAGCCCACAAGAACAAGGGGAGAGACCUUGAGACCUCCUGCGGCUGUGUCUAAAGUGUCUUGCCCACCUCUUCAUCCUGGUUGGGUGGCCUGUAGCACACUCCCACGAUAAGGUCAGUCUUACUGGCCUUUGCUUUUCUUCUGACCUAGAAGCUCUCAACCCUAUCAUGGCCAUCGUUCAUUUCCAGACAUUCCCAUUCUUUCUUAACGUAGAGGGCUGCACCACUGCCUUUCCUGCCUUGCCUCUCUCUUUUGCAAAGUCGCUAGCCAUCCAUCACAGCACUCCAGCUGUGUGAGUCAUUCCACCACGUUUCUGUGAUUUUUCUCCUGUUUUUUGAUUCCAACAAAAGCCACGUAGGAUUAUUUUGAUUGUUAUUCUUUUUUUAAUGGCAGGCAUUGUGUUCAACUUAAGAAAUGAACACAUGAAGAAUAGCUUUGUUUGCAUUCUGGUAACUGCUGAGGCUUUGGCUGACGACAGCUUUCAGCUGCACCUGAACUAGGCUGGAUUUGUCUCCUGCUCUCCAUAGGUGAGUAAUUUCUCUUGCAGACCUUUGAAUCAAUGAUUCCCCUGCUAUUUGUCUCUUCUGGUUGCUGGAGAGAAGAGCUGCAAUAUCACAUCCUGAUCCAUAAGGUGAUCAAGCUUGGUGAUUGUCAGUAAUUCAGGAUAUGCUUGCUUUUCUUGAAGUGAACUAAGGGAUAAGCUAUCAUGCUGUGCCAUUUCUUUUCCUGUGCGUAAUGCCAAGGGAUAGGGCUGCAGGUGCCUGCUGGUUCACGGGACAUGCCAGAGCUUUGUACACAGCUUAAGUGAUGGAAGAGGAAAGACUCCAGUAUGGUAACAACGUGAUUUCUAGUGUUUUGGUACGUAUAUUCAAGUCAGUAUGGGUCCAUUUCAGACAGCAUCGUCUCACAUCUGUUUGUUGUCUCAUAUCAAACGCAUUUUUACUCAUUUGGCUACAUACAUACUCCACCCAUAGUUUGCAUCUUGUCUUCUUAGGGUGAGGUUUGCCUGCUGAACAGCAAGACAAAAGAAGCUUAAAUUACAGAAGCAGAGAAGCAAAGACAGCUUAGAGGCUCAAUACAGUACGGAUCAGUUAGAGCAUUACUUGGAAGUUGUUGUGUUCUGGGUGUUAGGUGGGAUGAGACACGGGUGUGAAUGUUACAGCCAAGUGUUUUUCCCUUGUUCAUUGUUCACCUGCUGCCAUGCAAGCCAGCUCUUCUUUUCCCUGCCUCUGCUUUUCUUGUUGCAUGCAUAUGCAUCGCAAAAUCUCUGAACAGAUUUCUUUUCCCGUUUUAACAGUGUAUAGCUAGAAGUGGGGCUUAUCUCAGCCUUUUGUCUCAUCAUCUGAUGGAGAUUGGUUGUGUAUGGGGGAGUUUGCACGAAUUAUUAGCAUCUCACCAAAAGCAAGGAACAGAAAAAGAAAGAAAAAAACACCAAACCGCCCUAAAAGCUGCAUAAAUGACUAUAGCUGAGCCAGCAGGAAAUAUUACCUGCAGUUUGCAGAGUCCUCGUUUUGCUCAGCACUGACUGGAUGGGGUUAACAGUGACCACUAAUGAAGGAGCUCUGCUACCUGUCUCAGCAGUGCUCCAGUCUUUGUUGCUGCGUUAUGAAUGCACUGCUCCUCCUGACACAUUGCAGGAUUCAGGCUGGGAGCAGGUAUGGCAUCCCCUGACUUGACCACGUGUAACUUGAUGCUAGAAGUACACCACGUCCUCCCUCCCUGCAUGGCAAGAGAUGGCUCUCUUCUCCUGCAAAGGCAGCCAAAGUAACUUCUGUGUGCUGACUAGAGAGAGAAAACUUGGUGUCACUCCUUGCAAGUCCUGUGGCAGCCAGAUAUUGUGUUAGCCACUCACAGGUAGCAUGUCUUUGGUAUCAGGGUGUAAGAGAAUGAACUCUGUAGGAGCGCUGCUGUCAUAGGCCACCAAGGGCCCGGGAUGCCUGGCUGAAAUUGGAUGUUGCAGAUACCUUGGUGUCACUGGAAUCCAUGGAGCUGACACAGUCCUCUGAUGGCUGGAUUUCUGCUUGCUAAGGGUAUUCCUUCUGGUUUCUUGGCUUUUCAGGUGAUUUUUGCUUUGCUUUCCUUGGCUUUUUAGUACUUCCUCCUUCUGUUAUUGCUCCUGGCUUUGUUUUGCUUUGCUCUUUGGUUUUUCUUUUGUACCUUUGCCUUGCAUUGCUCGAGAAUUUUCGUUUCUUCCUUCUCUUCAGUGCUAAGCAUUGGUGAGUGUUUUUCUCUUUGUACUGUGUUUGGCUUCUUUGGUUUGCCACGAUAUACACGAGUAAAGCAAAUGAAUGGAAUGCAGUAUGGUGACUUGUUUGAAUUGCUUUGUCUUCCUCGUUUGGUUGUUUUUCCCCUGUUGCUUUUCAGUAGUGCGCCUUUUGCUUUGCUUUCCAUUGUCUUUGUGUCUGGUUGGUUUUUUUUGGUUCUUUGUUCUCGUUACCUGUUCCUUUCUUUGCAUUAGCUUCUUCCUCCCAGAGGAGAGCAUUCCUUGCCUUUUCAGAGGAUGGUUCUUGGCUUUGCUUGGAGUUUCUCCCUUGCUCUUCAUUCUUGGUUGCCUUACCUGGCUUUGCCUUCCUUGUCCCCUUGCCCCGGCCUUGCUCUUCCUUUGCCUUCACUUACCUGAUGUGCUCUCUCCCUUGAUUGUUCUCUUCUGUCUGUUCCUUUCUGGCUUCUUGAACUGCAGCCUCCUCUCUGGGCUUUCCUGCCGUGCUUGAUGCAUUUGCAGCUCCUUGGAGUUUCCCAGGUGGGUCCACGCCUCCUGGGCCUCCUUGCCUCUUCCCUUGUGGUGCUCUUGUGGCUUUUUCUCCAGCUGGCUGGAUCCAUGCGGGCCUAUUGCCCCAUUUUCUCGGCAUUGGUGUAUGUGGAUUGUUCUCUGUCAUCUUCCCAGGCCUAGAUGCUGAGCUUUUGCCUCUUCCAGGCUCUGUUGUCAUCUUUGCUUUUCCGUGAGAGUGUAUUCUGUUCUGUUAUUGUUGGUUGCUUGUUUUUGAAUGUGGUGUUUGUUGUUGUUUCAUUUAUUGUUAUUGGCUUUCUUUGAUGUGCGUGGGGUUUUUUGUUCUUUUUUUCAGUUUGGUGCUUUUUUUUUUCUUUGCUGUUCCUUUCUUUGCACUGUAUUUUUUUCCUAGCAGCGUUUCUAUUCCUUUCUCUUCUACUAGAAAUUGUAGCUCCUAACACUAAUCCAAUGUAUAAACCAAAGUCUGAACUCUAAAUCACACAGGUGUAUGGGAACUGUAUAAUCACAGCCUGACCCUCUGUUUGACCACCUGAGGCGAGUGCUGAGUCAGCUGCAGGGGCACAGGUGAUGGCAGUUUCAGCUGAGUGACCGGAAGGGGUGGACCCUGGCUGCAGCCCUGCUAGACCCCAUGUAAGGGCUGACUCCCAAGGAGGAAGGAUCUCUACCUGGAGGUCACCCUUAGUGGAGCCCUUCUGCGCGCCCAGGGUACGGGUAAGCUUUUUAUGUCAUUCCUCCUUUGGAAACGCGCUCAUCUCUCUGCUCCUUUACCUGUUUGCCUUACAAUCUGUUUGCCAUACACACAGGUAAUGUUUAACCCUCCUAAUGGGUAGCCCUGAAGCCUUUUCUGUAAAGCAACAGGGAUGGCGUUAGCCCUCA
rnacentral:lncRNA from 7 species